rnacentral:rRNA from 1 species
GUGGCUCGUGGUCAGGGCACCGGUACCCCACCCGUGUCUAUCUACUCUUUGUUGCUUUGGCAGGCCGUGGUCUCCACGGCGGGCUUUGCCCGCUUGCGCCUGCCAGAGGACCAAACUCUGAAUUUUAGUGAUGUCUGAGUACUAUAUAAUAGUUAAAACUUUCAACAACGGAUCUCUUGGUUCUGGCAUCGAUGAAGAACGCAGCGAAAUGCGAUAAGUAAUGUGAAUUGCAGAAUUCAGUGAAUCAUCGAAUCUUUGAACGCACAUUGCGCCCGGUGGUAUUCCGCCGGGCAUGCCUGUUCGAGCGUCAUUAUAACCACUCAAGCCUGGCUUGGUAUUGGGGUACGCGGUCCCGCGGCCCCUAAAAUCAGUGGCGGUGCCGGUUGGCUCUAAGCGUAGUAAUACUCCUCGCUACAGACCCCUUCCGGUUCCCUGCCAGAACCCCCCAUUUUUUACAGGUUGACCUCGGAUCAGGUAGGGAUACCCGCUGAACUUAAGCAUAUCAAGAACGGGAGGAAGGCUCAUUAAUAAUGAUACCGGGCAACCGGUAACCCACCCGUGUCUAUCUACUCUUUGUUGCUUUGGCAGGCGGUGGUCUCCACGGGGGGCUUUGCCCGCUUGCGCCUGCCAUAGGACCAAACUCUGAAUUUUAGUGAUGUCUGAGUACUAUAUAAUAUUUAAAACUUUCACACGGAUCUCUUGGUUCUGGCAUCAUGAAAAGCAGCGAAAUGCUAUAAUAAUGUGAAUUGCGGAAUUCGUGGAUCAUCAAUCUAUGACGCCAUUGCGCCGCGGGUAUUCGCAGGCAUGCGUUAUCAGGCCUCUUAUUACACUCGUCCGGACUGGUAUUGGGAUUACUGCGUGCCGGACCCUAAAAUCGUAGGCGUGCUGAUGGAUCAAUCGUAGUAUACUCGUCCGUCGAACCCUUCGGUCUGCAGACCCCAUUUUAACGGUGGACCCUCGACAAGGGGAUACGUUGAAUAUAACAUACUAUGC